GAUGAACGCUGGCGGCGUGCCUAAUACAUGCAAGUCGAGCGAACAGAUGAGAAGCUUGCUUCUCUGAUGUUAGCGGCGGACGGGUGAGUAACACGUGGGUAACCUACCUAUAGGACUGGGAUAACUCCGGGAAACCGGGGCUAAUACCGGGUAAUAUUUUGAACUGCAUGGUUCAAUAGUGAAAGACGGUUUCGGCUGUCACUUAUAGAUGGACCCGCGCCGUAUCAGCUAGUUGGUAAGGUAACGGCUUACCAAGGCGACGAUGCGUAGCCGACCUGGGAGGGUGAUCGGCCACACUGGAACUGAGACACGGUCCAGACUCCUACGGGAGGCAGCAGUAGGGAAUCUUCCGCAAUGGGCGAAAGCCUGACGGAGCAACGCCGCGUGAGUGAUGAAGGUCUUCGGAUCGUAAAACUCUGUUGUUAGGGAAGAACAAAUUUGUUAGUAACUGAACAAGUCUUGACGGUACCUAACCAGAAAGCCACGGCUAACUACGUGCCAGCCGCCGCGGUAA
rnacentral:rRNA from 1 species